UACGGAGGGUGCGAGCGUUGUCCGGAAUCACUGGGCGUAAAGGGCGCGUAGGCGGCCUGAUAAGUAGGGGGUGAAAUCCUGCGGCUUAACCGCAGGGCUGCCUUCUAAACUGUCGGGCUAGAGCACGGUAGAGGCAGAUGGAAUUCCCGGUGUAGCGGUGAAAUGCGCAGAUAUCGGGAAGAACACCCGUGGCGAAGGCGGUUCUCUGGGACGGUACUGACGCUGAGACGCGAAAGCGUGGGGAGCGAACAGG
rnacentral:rRNA from 1 species